CAUGACGGGGUCGCGAGGUAAGACGGGGUACCGCACACAAACAAGAAACUACACGUUGGUGAAUAGCAUGCAGUAACUCAAUAAGAAGAGUUAUUCGAUUAACGGUCACUGCAAGAGAAACCGUGAAUGAGAGUGCACGCGUUUUUUGUUUACAAACGGAAAACUGUUUUAGCGCUCCGUUGAUCUAAUUUUGUGCAAGGACAACCAUCGUUAUUUUAAGAUAAUACCAUGGUACGUACUUACAAGAAAAAACAAAAAGAGGAGAGUGGUCGAGAGAUGCUAUGAAAACAGCCUAGAUAAAGUGAUAUCGUCAGAACCCUGGGUAGGCUGCCAGAUCUGUGGAUGUUGAGCUCACAAUGCUUGUGCUAGGGUGGACAAUGAAGAUCUGGAGCAAAUACACGUUUUUGUUUGUUUUGUGAGAAUUAAUUAGCAUCACCAUCAUGCUCCAAUUCCAUUACCCCAUCAUACCCCAUAGUAUGGGGCAAGAUGGUUUUUCAUAAUGUUCUUAUUAAUGGCUAAUUGUUGAAAAAUGUGAUAGGUUGAUUUUCCAAAGAUUGUACCAAAUCAUAGUUAGAUUAAUGACGUAACGCGCCAUCAAUUAGUAAUAGUAAUAAACGUAGUAAUUAUGUUGUA